GCUGUAACUCAGUGGUAGAGCACUUGCCUCACAAGUGUGAGGCACUGGGUUCAAUCCUCAGCAUGAA
rnacentral:tRNA from 1 species